rnacentral:rRNA from 1 species
ACGGAAGGCAGCAGUGAGGAAUAUUGGUCAAUGGGCGAGAGCCUGAACCAGCCAAGUAGCGUGAAGGAUGACGGCCCUACGGGUUGUAAACUUCUUUUAUAGGGGGAUAAAGUGAGCCACGUGUGGCUUUUUGUAGGUACCCUAUGAAUAAGCAUCGGCUAACUCCGUGCCAGCAGCCGCGGUAAUACGGAGGAUGCGAGCGUUAUCCGGAUUUAUUGGGUUUAAAGGGUGCGCAGGCGGCACGUUAAGUCAGCGGUGAAAUGUCGGGGCUCAACCCGGGCACUGCCGUUGAAACUGGCGAGCUUGAGUACGGAUGAAGUCGGCGGAAUGUGAUGUGUAGCGGUGAAAUGCUUAGAUAUGUCACAGAACACCGAUUGCGAAGGCAGCUGACUAAUCCGCAACUGACGCUCAGGCACGAAAGCGUGGGGAUCGAACAGGAUUAGAUACCCUGGUA